rnacentral:rRNA from 1 species
CAGUAGCCGCGGUAAUACGAAGGGUGCAAGCGUUAAUCGGAAUUACUGGGCGUAAAGCGUGCGUAGGCGGUUUGUUAAGUCUGUUGUGAAAUCCCCGGGCUCAACCUGGGAAUGGCAAUGGAUACUGGCAAGCUAGAGUGUGUCAGAGGAUGGUGGAAUUCCCGGUGUAGCGGUGAAAUGCGUAGAGAUCGGGAGGGACAUCAGUGGCGAAGACGGCCAUCUGGACAACACUGACGCUGAGGCACGAAAGCGUGGGGAGCAAACAGGAUUAGAUACCCCAGUAGUCCCUGUCUCUUAUACA